CAGAGAAGCACCUGCAGCUCCUGCCAGCCGCCCCGCCUCCACCCCACGUUCCCCUCCUGCCCCUGGGUCCCCGCGGAGUCGGUCAUCUUCCGGCCACACUCAGUUGAUGCUGAAGGGUCCUCCACAGGCCACUCUGAAGAACACUGACGAAGCACGGAUGGGCGCGAUGUGUGGACCUCAGGAUAAAGGGCCUCCGUGGAGCUCCACCUGGAAACUGGCUGCUCCUGCCCACGGUGCUGACUCAUCCUCUGGAGGGAGAAGAGAACAAAAGCUUAUCGGAGAAAAUGUGAUCCCUGCUUUAGAAUGGAACCCUGCUCCCAGCUCCAAUGCCAGCUCUCACUGGGGCUGUACGACGCUUUCACGCCAGUUCCCCGUUGAGCCAACAACCGUGAGGCAGUCAGUGAGCCUGAUAAGUGGGUUUUAUCCCCAUUUUACAACAGAAGAAACCAAGGCUCAGAGACUCCACCCAAAAGUGGCAGCCAUUUGUCAGGCACCAACCAUGGCGAGAGACCAGGACCAAGACCUGGGCCACCAUUUCUAUUCCACAGGCAGACCCCUGUCACCUGCAAAGCACCAGAUUUCAAACUGGACUCAAUUCCACCCCUACGCUUACUGCUUUAGAAUCUAUUUUUUAAAUGCAAUUUUAGGGGUUUUGGUAAUCGCCUUAAAUGGAGAAAAACAUUAUGCAGCAUUCACUUGAUAUUAGCCAAACUACAAGAAGUAUCAAUUGAUUAAAAAAAAAAAAUUUAUGUACCUUGCCUUAGAAGUGAUUUCUGGAUAAAAUUUUCUAGAGCUUAUAAUUCCAUCCACGAUGUGAUCUAAUAUUGCCUAUUUCUAAAGCAUUUUACAUAACUUUGCUGUACACCUGAAACUAACAUAACAUUGUAA